UGGCCAUUGUCGUAGGCUUUGUCCACUUUGACAAACUGAAGACGGGGACUCGACUCACCUUCGCCAGCCACAGGAGGACCUCCAGACGAGGACCGGACUCGCCGCCUUUCUUUCCCGUCAGAAAGGGAUCCCUUGCGGACAAGACCGAAUGGCCCCUAAGGCUUCUCUGCAGGUCCAACCGAAACAGGCCUGAAGUUCCAGGAUGGGCGAGAGGAUCCUCUUUGAGCGAAACCAGCCUUCUGCCUGGCUGGCCCUGGUCAACACACUCGGAAGAGGCCGAUUUGGAGGACAGAACGGAAGAAAAGACCUAAAGUAGAUGAUCCUCAUCCAAUCACUUAAAGGCCUGAAUAGAACCAAAAGUCUGACCUGCCCAUGAGUAAGAGAGAGCUCCUUCUGCCUGAUUGCUUCAGCUGAGAUAUCAGCCUUUUCCUGCCUUUGGAAUUGAACUGCAACACUGGCUCUUCCUGGGCCUCAAGCCUGCCAGCUUUUGAACUGUAAUCACACCAUCAUCUCUCCUGGUUCUCAGGCCUUUGGACUCAAAUCAGAAACACACCAUGGGCUCUCCUGUGUCUCAAGCUUGCCAACUGUGAUCUUGAGACUUCUCAGCCUCCAUAAUCACAUGAGUCAAUUGUUGGUUCUGUUUCUCUGGAGAACCCUAAUCCAUCACUUUACAUAUUUCUUCCAUUACACAUAUUGUUUCCCAGCAUAUUAAAUAAUUUACUGAUUA
rnacentral:lncRNA from 1 species